GAGGAAGGGGCUGGGGGAUCUAUGAACCAUAGAGAAAGAGAAAAUAUAUAUCAGCUGGAUUUACCCUGUAUGACCUGGACUGUUUGGACUUACCUGUUGGCAUUUGGACCUGGACCCACUGAGAACCCGAUUCGUGUACCUGUGACAGGAUAGGGGGAGAUCGUGAACAUCAGGUCUCCCCAGUAUGAAAAUGUUGCAAGGGAUAAUAAAUAAUGCUCAACUGGGACCACUGGCUGGGUGAUAUAUUUGGACAAAACACAACGCAAGGAGAGUAUGAUUAACAUCUGUUACACUAGUGCCGAGACUCGUCUUGCCUUCGCCGGACGUGACGUGGAGGGUUCCGAGACCCAGCUUCAAGAAGUACUGUGGUUGCUGAUGCACACCAGAGGCUUAGGUUUCGCAUUCUGCACAAGUGGAAUUCUCAGGGAGCUCCUGGUAGCAUGAUGUUCAACGUUUGGUUAAUAAAUCCAGAAAAUGUACACCAACUCUGCUGCAUAUUGGUCCACCUUUUCGGAUGACGAUUUCGCUAUGUCGUCCUCCGACGAAGAAAGCCGUGACAGUGAUAGAAUGAUUAUUUAGUGAUGUAAUUGUGCUGUUAUGCUAGUAACUUUCCGACGCCAGUUAACGUGAG
rnacentral:lncRNA from 1 species